ensembl:lncRNA
UUUUCUGUCUUUUUAGGCAAAAUAUACCUUUUGCCUACCUUUUAGUUCAUUCUCUCAUGUUUCAGUCAUAUCAUCAAAAGUGAGGUUUGGCCUAAAGUCCUGACCUACAAGACUCAGGAUUCCACUACAUGUUUCAUCUUUUAGAUGAUUCUGUUUGGUUGCUUUGAGACACUUUAUCUAUAGCCCUUAGGAAAGGUCUUUAUUUACACUGUUUCUUCAGGCUGCAAUUGCCUAGGAUACUCUGAAAUUUUCAUUGAAGCUGCAUGUACAAGCCUGGGUGGCUGAUGGCUACUGCUUUUUCCUCAGUACAUGAAGGCAUCUACUGCACCUUUCUAAAUGCUGCAAAAUCAAAGCAAAACAAAUCACAACCCCAAACAUAAUUUAAAAAGCUCAAUUCUGUGAACUAACUGGCACUGCUGUUGAGCUAUACAGGAGCCCACACUUAAUUUUUUAUCUCAAUCAUGUUUACCAUUUUGUAGUUUUAAAUCCCUGCAUGUAAAAUUACCACUGACCUGUCCCAUUGUCAACACGUACAUAUUCAUCAGUUUCAGAAAUGUGAUGUGCAGUGAAAUUAAGACAAAAUUUGGCUGACGCUUUUUUCUAAAGUAACUUACAAUCAUGACUGAACACACCUUGAGUAAUUGACGGUUAAGGCCAUUGCUCAAGGGCCCAGCAGUGGUAACUUGACAGUGGUGAGGCUUAAACUGGUAAUUUUCUGAUUACUAGUCUUAAUAGCACCUUAACCAAGGUAGAACCUUAACCACUGUGCUACCACUGCCCCAACCACAAGUCUGCUAUUGGGUAAAACAUGCUUUGUUAUCCUGUUCUUUCAUCCAGACUGCCUUCUUUUUGUGAAAAGGAUCAUUCCUUGAAAUAGCACUCACUCACUCACUCUCUCUCUCUCUCUCUCUCUCUCUCUCUCUCUCUCUCUCUCUCACACACACACACACACAUUAUAUCUUGUGUGAAAGAAUUGGGAAGGCUGUGGAUUAGUGAAGGUCUGAAUGCAGCUGUACUCUGAUUUUUCCCAGAUUACUACCCUGCGUCAGAGAGUGGAGGAACUCAGUAAAUUCUCCAAGAAGGGUGCUGCCGCUCGCCGCAGAAAGUAAAGUUUCCAACGUCCUGCUGGUUAAACUACAUCCCCACCCGCCGCUCCAAGCCGUAGACCUGUGCCCUCAGGCUCCUCCAGCUGCACCGGGGGUCUUCAGACAGCCAAAGACUGACUCAGCCUCACCUACCAAAUGCCAUGUGAUGCAUCCCUGGCCUAGUCUUACUUGCAGUCAAAGUAGAGCCCUGUUCCAUCUGACCACUGCUAGGUUCUCAUUGUGUGUGUAUGUAAAUAAAGUAUUAGUUCUUCAGCUUUUUCUGCAUCUUUGUUCAGGUGUCACACUCUCCCAUUUAACAGAGUGCAGGAGGGCCAUAGCUCUACACUUAAGACAUUUAAGUACGCACUUAAAUUUAAUUUAAUUGCAUUAAAUUGUAGACACUUAAAUUGCAUUCAAUUAACACUUACUGUUGUAAGAUAUGUGUUUGGAGACAUCACUGUAGACACAAUUCACUUCUUUUAAAAUAUAUGUUUGUCAAUAAGAUAAUCCACUCACAUUUUAUGAGAAUUUCAUUUUUAUAUAGAGGGUACAGACAAACUAGCUCUCAGUUUCUACAGUGAAAUUACCUCGAAUCCAGAUAUGCCUAAGGAACUCAUGACAGCUGGGACUUGGUGAAAUAAAAAUAAUUAGACCAGCAAGCAUUCAUAUUAAGUAGAGAUGAUCAAGCCAAAGUCUUUGAGUUGAACAUUGUCUGCAAAACUAAACAAACAGAAACCAACAGAUGUUACAGGAAGGAUAUGCUUGCUGUUGGAUACAUUUAAAUAAAUGGUUUGGUGCCAGGUUUUCCACCCCAAAUUGUAGUAGGCAAACCAAGUCUCCUCUCCUAAGUUUCCUUUAUUGGUAUUGCACAAUGAGACUAACAUAACCAACACGAACUAAAAAUUGUUUUUAAUCGUUUUUAUGAACACAUGCCCAAAUCCUUGCUUUAGAGCAUCCUGUGCUUGUCUCCAAAAAUAUCUGACCUGCUCACCUCAUGAAAUUGGUCGGCAUUAUUAAGCAGUGUAAAAAAGUCCAGACACAUUUUUAGUUUUUGUUUAGUUUUUAUUGAAAAUGGAAAAUUGUGUGCGCG